rnacentral:misc_RNA from 1 species
AGUCGUAACAAGGUCUCCGUUGGUGAACCAGCGGAGGGAUCAUUACAGAGUUGCAAAACUCCCACAAACCAUCGCGAAUCUUACCCGUACGGUUGCCUCGGCGCUGGCGGUCCGGAAAGGCCCUCGGGUCCUCCCGGAUCCUCGGGUCUCCCGCUCGCGGGAGGCUGCCCGCCGGAGUGCCGAAACUAAACUCUUGAUAUUUUAUGUCUCUCUGAGUAAACUUUUAAAUAAGUCAAAACUUUCAACAACGGAUCUCUUGGUUCUGGCAUCGAUGAAGAACGCAGCGAAAUGCGAUAAGUAAUGUGAAUUGCAGAAUUCAGUGAAUCAUCGAAUCUUUGAACGCACAUUGCGCUCGCCAGUAUUCUGGCGAGCAUGCCUGUUCGAGCGUCAUUUCAACCAUCAAGCUCUGCUUGCGUUGGGGAUCCGCGGCUGCCCGCGGUCCCUCAAAAUCAGUGGCGGGCUCGCUAGUCACACCGAGCGUAGUAACUCUACAUCGCUAUGGUCGUGCGGCGGGUUCUUGCCGUAAAACCCCCCAUUUCUAAGGUUGACCUCGGAUCAGGUAGGAAUACCCGCUGAACUUAAGCAUAUCAAUAAGCGGAGGAA